rnacentral:tRNA from 1 species
UUCUCUCUGGCCGAAGAGGUUAAAGCAUCUGCCUGCAAUGCGGGAGACCCGGGUUCGAUCCCUGGGUUGGGAA